rnacentral:rRNA from 1 species
ACACAUGCAAGUCGAGGGGAAACGAUAUUGGAAGCUUGCUUCCGAUAGGCGUCGACCGGCGCACGGGUGAGUAACGCGUAUCCAACCUGCCCACCACUUGGGGAUAACCUUGCGAAAGUAAGACUAAUACCCAAUGAUAUCUCUAGAAGACAUCUGAAAGAGAUUAAAGAUUUAUCGGUGAUGGAUGGGGAUGCGUCUGACUAGCUUGUUGGCGGGGUAACGGCCCACCAAGGCGACGAUCAGUAGGGGUUCUGAGAGGAAGGUCCCCCACAUUGGAACUGAGACACGGUCCAAACUCCUACGGGAGGCAGCAGUGAGGAAUAUUGGUCAAUGGGCGAGAGCCUGAACCAGCCAAGUAGCGUGCAGGAUGACGGCCCUAUGGGUUGUAAACUGCUUUUAUAAGGGAAUAAAGUGAGCCUCGUGAGGCUUUUUGCAUGUACCUUAUGAAUAAGGACCGGCUAAUUCCGUGCCAGCAGCCGCGGUAAUACGGAAGGUCCGGGCGUUAUCCGGAUUUAUUGGGUUUAAAGGGAGCGUAGGCCGGAGAUUAAGCGUGUUGUGAAAUGUAGAUGCUCAACAUCUGCACUGCAGCGCGAACUGGUUUCCUUGAGUACGCACAAAGUGGGCGGAAUUCGUGGUGUAGCGGUGAAAUGCUUAGAUAUCACGAAGAACUCCGAUUGCGAAGGCAGCUCACUGGAGCGCAACUGACGCUGAAGCUCGAAAGUGCGGGUAUCGAACAGGAUUAGAUACCCUGGUAGUCCGCACGGUAAACGAUGGAUGCCCGCUGUUGGUCUGAAUAGGUCAGCGGCCAAGCGAAAGCAUUAAGCAUCCCACCUGGGGAGUACGCCGGCAACGGUGAAACUCAA